GUAGCAAUACCGACUGGCGCACGGGUGCGGAACACGUAGGUAAUCUUCCCUUUAGGGGAGAACAACCAGCCGAAAGGUUGGCUAAAUCUCCGUAACAUUUUAGUGUGGCAUCACACUUUAAUCAAGCUUUCUAAGGGAUGAGCCUGCGUCUGAUUAGCUAGUUGGUAGUGUAACGGACUACCAAGGCUACGAUCAGUAGCUGGUCUGAGAGGAUGAUCAGCCACAUUGGGACUGAGACACGGCCCAGACUCCUACGGGAGGCAGCAGUGAGGAAUAUUGCUCAAUGGACGAAAGUCUGAAGCAGCAACGCCGCGUGAGGGAUGAAGGUGCUUUGCA
rnacentral:rRNA from 1 species